rnacentral:ncRNA from 1 species
CUAAGUCAGAAUCCGGGCCAGAAGCGACGCGUUGUCCGCCGCUCGUUUGCCGACCAGCAGUAGGGGCCCUCCGGCCCCCAAAGGCACGUGUCGUUGGCUAAGCCCUCGCGGCGGACGAGCCGCGCGGGCCGCCUUGAAUUACAAUUUCCACCGGGCGGCGGACUGAAUCCUUUGCAGACGACUUAAAUACGCGACGGGGUAUUGUAAGUGGCAGAGUGGCCUUGCUGCCACGAUCCACUGAGAUUCAGCCCUUCGUCGCUCCGAUUCGU